rnacentral:misc_RNA from 1 species
AACUGAUACUACCUGCGGGAACCUGCGGAAGGAUCAUUACUGAGGAGGGUCCAUGGCCCGAUCUCCAACCCUUUGAUAAAAACACCAUGUUGCUUUGGCAGGCCCGCCCGUUGGGGCCGCGGGGGAUCGCCGGUCCCUAGCCCGUGCCUGCCGGUAGCCUUCACAAAACUCUCAAAAUGUUGUCGUCUGAGAUGAUUAGAAUAAUAAAACUUUUAACAAUGGAUCUCUAGAUCGGAAGAG